rnacentral:rRNA from 1 species
AUACGGGGGGUGCAAGCGUUGUUCGGAAUUACUGGGCGUAAAGCGCGUGUAGGCGGCUUGGUAAGUCGGUUGUGAAAGCCCGGGGCUCAACCCCGGAACGGCAUCCGAAACUGCCCGGCUAGAGUCCCGGAGAGGAAGGCAGAAUUCCCAGUGUAGGGGUGAAAUCCGUAGAUAUUGGGAGGAAUACCAGUGGCGAAGGCGGCCCUCUGGACGAUGACUGACGCUCAGGUGCGAAAGCGUGGGGAGCAAACAGGAUUAGAUACCCCGGUAGUCC